CUGUGGGUUGCUCUGACCUCACUGCAUUUCUUAGAACUGCAUGGAUCAAUAUUAUCCUGGUGCAGUAGGAUAAGUGGUCUGCAAAGGGAUAAAUCAUCUGCAAAGGGAUAAUUGGAAAGAGUUGAUGUCCCUCCUGCUUCUGGCUCCCCCCCUCUCCCUCUCCAGCUUUAUCCCACCUCCUGAUGCUGCCUCUUCCAUCUUGGAGACUAAAUCUGCCCAGCACAUACUCAGUCAGAGAAGAAAGGAAAUACUUGCAACAGUGUUGGAUUUAAGGGUGAAAAUAAUGUUGGUGGGACUCAGAUGAGCACAGGAACCUCUGUGUCUGCAGUGCAGUAAUUCCCUGGAAAUGGUUUGGGAAAUGUUAGUUUGGACUGGAUGGAACCAAGGGAGUUGGAGCUUCCUCUGAAGAAGGGAAUGCUCAAGGGGAGGUAACAGGAGACAAAAUUAUGUCUGUGGAGCAGACUCUUGAGUUCAUGCUGAUGUGUCCAAGGACAAGCCAUGAGGUUUCUACCAGGUACCUGGAAGGUUCAACAAGGACCACUCUGCCUGGAGGCAGCACCAAAACCUGAAUCCUGCCCCCAGCAGAGCUCUUUACCUGCAUUUCACACCAAAUUCCAGGCAGGGGAUGAGGCACAUCCACAGGAGGCACCUGUGACAUGCUUUGAGGCACAACCUGAGUGGGGAUGCACUUAAAAACAAACACCCUAACUGGAAGAAAGGCUCUGAAAUGGGAAAACUUUGGAAUGUUCAUGGCAAAGCAACCCUACUGUCUUCCUCACAUGUCUCCUCUCCUUGCAGAAGAGCUUUGAAGACAAACAGGAUCCAAGCAGGUUCAGGCUGGGAUUGCUCUGGACUUGCAGAAGAAGUCACCUUCCUUUUUGACUGUCUGAGCCCCACAUGCAAACUCCAGUUGAAAUUCAGGUUGAGAAAUUCCCCUAAGGUUGAGAAAUGAUGCAGUUCUUAAAAGGAAUGCAUCAACUUUGGUAAAGCUGCAUUUAUUUUGUUUGUUUUUCUAAUCACAGAUAAUUCCUUGGCUUGAAUUCCUGCUCCUGUCACAGCAUCCUUGGUGGUGGAGACCUUGCUCAUGGGAGAAGGGCUGGGGGGGCCCAAAAACAGGAGUCUCUGGGGGCUAUAUGUAGGUAUAGGGUGAGCAGAAUGGGCUGAAAUGGCAAGAAAAGAAAGAAAAAGUGAUAAACCCAACAGUUUUAGUCAAUUUAAUGAGUUGGGGGGUGAAGAGCAAAUAUAGAUCUGGCUCUCAGUGGGACAUUGCUCCUCUUGCUCUUCCCAGCAUGGUACAAACCUUGUGGCCCUGGGGCUGAAUGAAUGAGAGAGGGCUGGUGCUGCUGGCACUGGGAUUUAUUGUGGGUGGGCUGGGGAGCAGGAAUGCUGUGGGAGCCCAUGGAGCAGCUCCCUGAGCUGGGCUGGGGAGCAGGAAUUCUGUAAGAGCCCAUGGAGCAGGUCCUUGAGCCCAGGGAGAUGAGCUGGGGGUGACAAGGUUCGACAGGAGAAUCCCAGAGGUGAAACGACCCACGGGGUGAAAUGAAUCUGCCUGCACAAAUUAGAGCUGAUUAGAGCAGUGGCUCUCAUUAACUCCAGUUUGGCUGUGCCCUGCCCUGAGGGGCCAUGGGGAGAGGGAGCUUCUCCAUGGGAUCCUCCAGCAAAUUUCCAUGCUGGCAAUUCCCCGUGGAUCUGGAAGGGUCUGCGAGCGGAUUGGAUUUCCUCCCAAGCAUCCCUCCCUGUCACUGCAGAGAAGAACUGUCCACCCAGCUUCCUGCACCCCUCCAGCACCAAAAUUCAUUAAUGCUCAGACCAUAAAAACUCUGAGACCUAAAAAAAACCCUUAAAGAAAGACCAGGAAAAGUGCCCAAUGUUUGGAGGGUGAGGGCUGAGCCUGUUUCCAUCACUGGGAACCCCAAAUAACCACAGAUCUCUCUUCCCAGUCGCCACAGACGGAGCUGCUGGCAGCUGGGGCAGAUGGGAGCUGGGUGUUUCUGGGACAUGUCACCUCCAAAAUUCCUGAGGACCUGCAAAACAUAUUUGUCUGCAGCCUCCCUGCAGCGUGGUGGGUUUGUAGUGAGAUCUUGACCUGCAAAGGAGACUGAACAAAAGCUUCUGCCACUCUGAAAUCAUGAGAGACUGAUCCAAAAACCACUUUUCUACCACGCUGAUGGGUUUGGGCUGCAAACAGCCAAAGGCCCCACAAAGGGGGCUUUGCCCACGGAGAUAAUGACAUAUUAACAGGGGGAGAUUGAUUUUCUGGAUUGCAACACAGACCUGGAUCUUGGGAAGCCCUGGUCCCAAAGGUGUUAUAUUUAGUUUCUUUUGGAACAUGAUCUAGUAGCCCUUAAAAUGGGGGAUAGAAUGUAUCGGUACUAAACUUAUUUUUAUUUUUGAGCUUUUUUAUGGGGGGGCUGUGUGUCUGUAACAUGAUUAUACCUCGUCUGUUUUCAACAGCCACUUGUUUAAGUGUCUCUGUUAUGGCUCAAAAAUGUAUUUUGAUGAUUGAAGAUGUGGGAAAAACCAGAUCCCUUCACACAGUUGGGUUGGUGCGUCCCAACCACCUCACAGACAUCUUACACCAAUGACAAUCUUGCCAAAUUCCAACCUUUCCUCCAUGUUGUACAUACGGGUGUUGCCGUCGCUCCGUCCCGUUGGGUUCCUUUUGCUUGAGCCAACUGGUUGUUGAUGUGCUUUUUUCACAGUUAUUGAGAGUUUGGUAGCCUUUAACUGUCAGUCCAGUGUAUUAAUGUGUGUUGCCACCACUCUGACUCCAGCCUUGUGCAUUCCAAAGAUAACCAUCGUAGCAGGGCAGCCGCAUGGAAAUGUCACUGGGAGCGGAGGGCUGGAUUUGGCAGGGGAAGGCAAAUUAAAAAUGUAUCCAGCCGAUUAAAAAAACCAAAAAAAGGAGCGAUUUAAUGAUGGCUGACAUCAAGAGAAGAUCCAAAAAAUAGCGUGCUUUGAUUCCCAUAAUCAUCCGAAGGCAGGCAGCUCAUCUUUAUUCAUAGUCCUUCAAAGCCCUGCUCCCAGACGAGAGCAUCUCGGAGCUGUCGUGCCUUGGACGUGCUCUUUAGACUCAGAACAGACAGAUAUUUCUCCUCUGUGCCCAACACAGCGAAAGGCUGAGCACCAACCCUUUCCCCAUUUAAUUUUAGAGCUCUGCUGUUGGCUCCAUCCUGCUGGAGAGGCAGGAAAAGCUGAUCUGGGGAGCGGGGCUGGUGUAGGGUCAUGAAAAGCAGCUUGUUUUUAAUGCCUUGUUUUAAGCUGUUUUAAGAAGGCAGCAAAAUUAGAAAGGGAAAGAUCUGAAAGAGUGUUUAAGGGCACUAAGGAAGGCUCUGGGGACACAGCACAGGGAUGGGCCUUAGAGGAGUGGCUGGAACAGGCUGUCAGAGGCAAUGAGGAAAUAACUGUGAGGCUGCUUUGCCCUGAUAGAUCUGGGGGGAAAAGUCAGGAUUUGGUGAGGCCCUGGCACAGGUUGCACCAAGAAGCUCUGGCUGCCCCAUCCCUGGAAGUGUUCAAGGCCAAGCUGGAUGGACCUUGAAGCAACCUGGUCUAAUGGAAAAUGCCCCUGCCCAUGGCAGAGGGUAGAACAAGGUGGGAUUUAAGGCUCCUUCCAACACAAAACUAGUCUGGGAUUCUAUUAAGUUAAGAUUCUGUGGUUCCUGCAGUCCCAUCCCAGACUCCAGCCUCUUUCCACACGUGCUGGCAACCCCCCCCCACAGGACUGACAUCUCAGAAAACACCCUAGACCACAUUGGAAGUUUCAUUCCCACACACACUUGGGUGUUUUCUGAGACAGGUGUUCAAAUGCUGUUAUUGCUACUGAAUCCUUUUAAAAUUAAGGGAUUUCUGAGAUACAGUGCUCCUCACUCUCCUGCUUUUCUUUUCAUUGCACAGAGUCAGCUGGAAGGCACAGAGUCAUCCCUCAACAUGAGGUUAAAGUCCUGUAGCAGCCCUGGUUGAAUUAAAUUACACAUUUCUAAUCCCAGUAUUUUCAUCCACCAGCCUCUGAUACAGGUAUAUUAUGUUUCUUUUUCCCAUUUUUUCUGCUUUCUCCAAGAUUACACCAUCAGCUUUUAAAGGGAAUGGCCUGAGAUACCUCUGACAGUGCCUGGUGUUGUCCAUAACACAUCAGCUCUGACCAUUGCAAGGCUGGGCACUGAUGCUGGUUUUAAGUCCAUUUAAGUCCAUCCUGUUCCAGAGGAUGAUUUUGGAGCAGAACAAUUUACCUGGCAAUGCUCAAGUCAUUGAUAGAGCUGGAAUUGUGAGUCAAGUGGUAUUAAGGGGAAAUGGAGUCAGGAAGUGCCUGAAAUACAAUCUGGUUUUAAUACCAGACGAUGUGUUUGCUGCCACGUUCCUUAGGCUGCUGUUGAUGUUCUGGAAUUGGACUUUGUUGUCCAAAUUGCUCGGGUUUUGCAGGAAAAUCCCCCUCUCUGCUGAGAGUCAGGUCUUCUCAUGUUGGAAUUUAGAAUUUUUCAAGAGAACAGGCUCUUAAUUCAUCACCUGAGACCCCAAAACAUGGCAAAAGGUCGCAUCGACCUCCAGCACAGCAGCAGCUCGUGUUUCUUAAUUUCCCAUCCUAUUUUCAUGGAAUCUUCCUGGGAUGGAGAUGGCUGGAUAUAAUUUUGACUUUGCUUUCCCUCCUUCACAUGUGCAACUGGGUAAUGCUGAGAUGCUUUCCAUGCCUGUCUCAACUGGACAUACACUGGGUGUAUUAACGGUGAAAUAUUGUGAAAUUCAGUGUAUGGGACUGAAAAACGAAACUCUUCACUAAAUCCUGACUAAUCUGGUGCCACAGGAACAAUGCAAUUUGGGACUGGAGGUGUUAAACGCAGUCUUGUUACUCUGAGUUAAUUUUAAACUCUGGUUUUGCCAGUGAGCUGUGUUCCAAUAGUUUAAAACUUGGGUUUUUUUGAUACCAGUCUGAUGCUAAACCAAGCUGCUGCCUCCUGUUGUCCUGGUGACUCCACCGUGGUGUGGACCUUGUGUUCAGUUACCAGUAAAAAAUGUGAUUUUUUUGGUUUUUUUGGUCGUGUGGAUUUUUUUACCUGAUGUUGAAUUUAUUUUUUUAAUGGUUUUUUUUUCUCAUUAGAACUUGAAACUGUUAUUUCAUACACAAACUUCAAUAAAAUGGCUGAAACACA